UACAGAGGCCUCGAGCGUUAGGCGGAAUCACUGGGCUUAAAGCGUGUGUAGGUGGAUGCCUAAGUACCUUGUGAAAUCCCAUGGCUUAACCAUGGAAUUGCUUGGUAUACUGGGUGUCUUGAGCCACUCAGGGGCGAGCGGAACAAACGGUGGAGCGGUGAAAUGCGUAGAUUAUCGUUUGGAACGCCAAUGGUGAAAACAGCUCGCUGGGGGUGCGGCUGACACUGAGACCACGAAAGCCAGGGGAGCAAACGGG
rnacentral:rRNA from 1 species